GACAUCCAGAGAACUUAGCAGAGAUGCUUUGGUGCCUUCGGGGAACUCUGAGACAGGUGCUGCAUGGCUGUCGUCAGCUCGUGUUGUGAAAUGUUGGGUUAAGUCCCGNAACGAGCGCAACCCUUAUCCCUUUGUUGCCAGCGGUUCGGCCGGGAACUCAAAGGAGACUGCCGGUGAUAAACCGGAGGAAGGUGGGGAUGACGUCAAGUCAUCAUGGCCCUUACGGCCAGGGCUACACACGUGCUACAAUGGCGCAUACAAAGAGAAGCGACCUCGCGAGAGCAAGCGGACCUCAUAAAGUGCGUCGUAGUCCGGAUUGGAGUCUGCAACUCGACUCCAUGAAGUCGGAAUCGCUAGUAAUCGUAGAUCAGAAUGCUACGGUGAAUACGUUCCCGGGCCUUGUACACACCGCCCGUCACACCAUGGGAGUGGGUUGCAAAAGAAGUAGGUAGCUUAACCUUCGGGAGGGCGCUUACCACUUUGUGAUUCAUGACUGGGGUGAAGUCGUAACAAGGUAGGCGUAGCGAG
rnacentral:rRNA from 1 species